rnacentral:rRNA from 1 species
UACCUACGGGAGGCAGCAGUGGGGAAUAUUGCACAAUGGGGGAAACCCUGAUGCAGCGACGCCGCGUGAGUGAAGAAGUAUUUCGGUAUGUAAAGCUCUAUCAGCAGGGAAGAAAAAAGACGGUACCUGACUAAGAAGCCCCGGCUGACUACGUGCCAGCAGCCGCGGUAAUACGCAGGGGGCAAGCGUUAUCCGGAUUUACUGGGUGUAAAGGGAGCGUAGACGGCGCGGCGAGUCUGAAGUGAAAGG